rnacentral:tRNA from 1 species
ACUGGCAUAUCUAAUUUAAGUGCUGGGUUCUUACCCCAGUGAUGUGUUUUUCACUGUUAGUU